rnacentral:rRNA from 1 species
AAUAGAUACCCGGGUAGUCCACGCCGUAAACGAUGAGUGCUAAGUGUUGGGGGGUUUCCGCCCCUCAGUGCUGCAGCUAACGCAUUAAGCACUCCGCCUGGGGAGUACGGUCGCAAGACUGAAACUCAAAGGAAUUGACGGGGGCCCGCACAAGCGGUGGAGCAUGUGGUUUAAUUCGAAGCAACGCGAAGAACCUUACCAGGUCUUGACAUCCCGGUGACCACUAUGGAGACAUAGCUUCCCCUUCGGGGGCAACGGUGACAGGUGGUGCAUGGUUGUCGUCAGCUCGUGUCGUGAGAUGUUGGGUUAAGUCCCGCAACGAGCGCAACCCUUAUUCUUAGUUGCCAUCAUUCAGUUGGGCACUCUAAGGAGACUGCCGGUGAUAAACCGGAGGAAGGUGGGGAUGACGUCAAAUCAUCAUGCCCCUUAUGACCUGGGCUACACACGUGCUACAAUGGACGGUACAAACGGUUGCCAACCCGCGAGGGGAGCUAAUCCGAUAAAACCGUUCUCAGUUCGGAUUGUAGGCUGCAACUCGCCUAC